UGGCCCUCUCUCUCAAAAUCAAUAAGCUUAAAAAAAAAAAAAAAAGAAAAGAAAAAGAAAAUGUCCUUUAAAUAAAAAUAAAAAUGAGUUUUCUUUUAGAGAGAACAUAUCAAAUUAUGCUUGAAGUGACAUGAUGUGAUGUCUGGGGUUUGCUUCAAAAUAACCAGGGGAUAAUUCAAAGGACUGGCCAUGAGUUUAUCAUUUCUGAAGCUGAGUGAUGGGUCCAUGGGGUUCAUGAUUUUAUUCUAUGUGGUAUGCGUGUUUGGAAUUCUCUAUAAUAUAUAUAUAUAUAUGUUCAUAUUUUUUUUUUUUUAAGUAGCCAAGGAAGUAGAUGACUGCCUUGCAAAUUUCAGUUCUCCUAUUUAGUGUGUGACCUUAGACAAGUGACUCUACCUUCCUGGUCCAGCUUCCUCCCCUGAAAAAUGGUGAUAAUCAUAUCUACUUCAUACCAGUGCCUGGAGCCCGGGGGGCACUCUGUGCCCACACGCACAUCCGUUCCUUCUUUGGGCUGGGCUCUCCAGCUGUCUUCUGUUGUCAGCACUAUGGAGAGGCCCACAUGGCAAGGAGCUGAGGGGCCCAACCAACAGCCAUGUGAAGGCGCCAUCUUGGAAGUGGCUCCUCCAGCCCCAGUUGGACCUUCAGAUGACCUCAGCCUUGGCUAAUCACUUGACUGCAGCCUCAUGAGACCCAGAACCAGAACCACUCAGCUAAGCUGCUCCCACACUGCUGACCUUCACAGUGUGAGAUAAUAAAUGUUUGCUGUCUGAA